GGAAUAUUGGACAAUGGACCAAAAGUCUGAUCCAGCAAUGCUGUGUGCACGAUGAAGUUUUUCGGAAUGUAAAGUGCUUUCAGUUGGGAAGAAGAAAGUGACGGUACCAACAGAAGAAGCGACGGUUAAAUACGUGCCAGCAGCCGCGGUAAUACGUAUGUCGCAAGCGUUAUCCGGAUUUAUUGGGCGUAAAGCGCGUCUAGGCGGUUUGGUAAGUCUGUUGUGAAAAUGCGGGGCUCAACUCCGUAUUGCGUUGGAAACUGCCAAACUAGAGUACUGGAGAGGUAGGCGGAACUACAAGUGUAGAGGUGAAAUUCGUAGAUAUAUGUAGGAAUGCCGAUGGGGAAGCCAGCCUACUGGACAGAUACUGACGCUAAAGCGCGAAAGCGUGAGUAGC
rnacentral:rRNA from 1 species